rnacentral:rRNA from 1 species
UGGGGAAUCUUCCGCAAUGGGCGCAAGCCUGACGGAGCAACGCCGCGUGAGUGAAGAAGGUCUUCGGAUCGUAAAGCUCUGUUGAUGGGGACGAACGUGCCUAAUGCGAAUAGUAUUAGGUAAUGACGGUACCCAUCGAGGAAGCCACGGCUAACUACGUGCCAGCAGCCGCGGUAAUACGUAGGUGGCGAGCGUUGUCCGGAAUCAUUGGGCGUAAAGGGAGCGCAGGCGGGCAUGUAAGUCUUUCUUAAAAGUGCGGGGCUCAACCCCGGGAUGGGAAAGGAACUAUGUGUCUUGAGUAAAGGAGAGGAAAGCGGAAUUCCCAGGGUAGCGGUGAAAUGCGUAGAUAUUGGGAGGAACACCAGUGGCGAAGGCGGCUUUCUGGACUGCAACUGACGCUGAGGAUCGAAAGCCAGGGGAGCGAACGGG